GGACGGAGGAUUCGUCUGAAGUGAUGAGAUGACUUAGUGGCGGACGGGUGAGUAACGCGUGGGUAACCUGCCGUAUGCAGGGGGACAACAGUUGGAACGACUGCUAAUACCGCAUAAGCGCACGUGACCGCAUGGUCGAGUGUGAAAAGAUUUAUCGGCAUACGAUGGACCCGCGUCUGAUUAGAUAGUUGGUGAGGUAACGGCUCACCAAGUCGACGAUCAGUAGCCGGCCUGAGAGGGUGAACGGCCACAUUGGGACUGAGACACGGCCCAAACUCCUACGGGAGGCAGCAGUGGGGAAUAUUGCACAAUGGGGGAAACCCUGAAUGCAGCGACGCCGCGUGAGUGAAGAAGUAUUUCGGUAUGUAAAGCUCUAUCAGCAGGGAAGAAAAUGACGGUACCUGACUAAGAACGCCCCGGCUAACUACGUGCCAGCCGCCGC
rnacentral:rRNA from 1 species